ACAAACUUGGUCAUUUAGAGGAAGUAAAAGUCGUAACAAGGUUUCCGUAGGUGAACCUGCGGAAGGAUCAUUACAAAAAAGUGGGGCGGGCCUCCGCGGCCCGUCCGGCUCCUCUCGCCUCCCCAUGCGGGAGGUGCACGAGACCCCAACCCUCUGUGAACCUACAUUAAACUUUGCUUCGGCAGCACGUCCCUUCCCAACGGUGGGGACUGGUAAGGCUGCCGAUAGCCUUAAACAUAUCAAACUACAAACCUUACAAAGCAACCGAAGUCUGAUUACCGUUUGAAUUUAUUUAAACCAGUUAAAACUUUCAGCAACGGAUCUCUUGGUUCUCGCAUCGAUGAAGAACGCAGC
rnacentral:misc_RNA from 1 species